rnacentral:tRNA from 1 species
UCCCUGGUGCCUCAGCAGGUUAAGGGUCCGGCACUGUCACUGCUGUGGCACAGGUUCAAUCCCUGGCCUGGGAA